GACGAACGCUGGCGGCGUGCUUAACACAUGCAAGUCGAACGCUGAAGCUUGGUGCUUGCACUGGGUGGAUGAGUGGCGGACGGGUGAGUAAUACGUGAGUAACCUGCCCUUGACUCUGGGAUAAGCCUGGGAAACUGGGUCUAAUACUGGAUAUGACAUGCCACUGCAUGGUGGUGUGUGGAAAGGGUUUUACUGGUUUUGGAUGGGCUCACGGCCUAUCAGCUUGUUGGUGGGGUAAUGGCCUACCAAGGCGACGACGGGUAGCCGGCCUGAGAGGGUGACCGGCCACACUGGGACUGAGACACGGCCCAGACUCCUACGGGAGGCAGCAGUGGGGAACAUUGCACAAUGGGCGGAAGCCUGAUGCAGCGACGCCGCGUGAGGGAUGACGGCCUUCGGGUUGUAAACCUCUUUCAGCACGGAAGAAGCGAGAGUGACGGUACGUGCAGAAGAAGCGCCGGCUAACUACGUG
rnacentral:rRNA from 1 species